rnacentral:rRNA from 1 species
CACGUAGGGGGCAAGCGUUGUUCGGAAUUACUGGGCGUAAAGGGCAUGUAGGCGGCUUUGUAAGCCUGGCGUGAAAGUCCACAGCUUAACUGUGGGACUGCGUUGGGAACUGUGAGGCUUGAGUCACGGAGAGGGAGCUAGAAUUCCUGGUGUAGGGGUGAAAUCUGUAGAGAUCAGGAAGAAUACCAAUGGCGAAGGCAAGCUCCUGGCCGAUGACUGACGCUGAGGUGCGAAAGUGUGGGGAUCAAACAGG